rnacentral:rRNA from 1 species
UAACGCGUGGAGAACCUGCCGUAUACUGGGGGAGUAACACUUAGAAAUAGGUGCUAAUACCGCAUAAGCGCACAGCUUCGCAUGAAGCAGUGUGGAAAACAAAAGCUAAAGCUUUUGGUGGUAUACGAUGGAUCCGCGUCUGAUUAGCUAGUUGGCGGGGUAAAGGCCCACCAAGGCGACGAUCAGUAGCCGGCCUGAGAGGGUGAACGGCCACAUUGGGACUGAGACACGGCCCAAACUCCUACGGAAGGCAGCAG